UAAAUAUUGCGAUUUUUAUAUAAUUUUAGGAUUCGAUAACAAAAUUCCUAGCACAAUGAACGGAAAAUUUUUAUUCGUCACAUUUUUACUACUGUCAUGCUUUUAUGCACAGUUAACAGUUAGUUGUGAACCAAAUCCUAUCCCAGAACCGGGUGGCGACGCAAUUAGUGUGAACCCAUCGAACACAGCAAGUAACAGCAAUGAUCAAUCAACUCAAGGCAAACAGAAUCAGAAUCACAAGGCUUAGCUUAAGCCAAGGGAGGACGUGAGUUUGAUGGUGGAUCAAUCUACCUAUGAGCCUCAUUCGACAAAAAUAUAUUGUUGAAAAAAUUAA